rnacentral:lncRNA from 1 species
GCCUAAAUGAAGAUCUUUUUGUUUCUCUUUGCAUAGGGCUGAACUCUUGGUUGCAACUGACAGAAAACUAGCUGAAACUACCUUUGAUCAGAAGAAGGAAUUCUUUGUUGGUAUACCUGAAGGAGGAGAAGAAUGGUUUAACUAGAAUCAUCAUAAACAUUGGUUUUACUGUCUCACAUAGAUUUCUUCUAGGAUCCUAGUUACUGGCAGAUCUGGCUCCUAAGUGUCACAGAAGAAAUGAUUCCCUCUCUAAGAUUUCUUUCCUGUACCCUUUUAAAUUUUUUUUUUUUUUUGGUGGUUCUAGGGAAAGAACCUCAAAGUCUCACAUAUGUGAGGCAAGCACUCUACCACUGUGCUACAAGCCCAGUCCUUUUUGAGUCAGGGUCUCACUAAAUUGUCUAGGUUGGCCUCAAACUUGCAAUCCUCCUGCCUCAGCCUCCCAAAUAAAUUAGGAUUACAGGUGUGUGCCACUAUGCCCCACUCCUGCAACCAUUUUGUUAGUGAAAAAUCCCAAGGAAAGAAUGGUCUGAAUCAGACACGUGUCAAUCAUUGUUGUGCUAUCUUAGCCCCUAAGGCUGGAUGAGAAGUUAUCAACCCUUAUACCAAUUCCUGUGAUUGGUGAAGCUGGGAUUAAGAAGAUGGUAGCUGUCAACAGAACUCAGGGUAUGGCUGGGGAAAAUCUCUCCAGAGAAUAAGGGAAUAAAUUUUUGCAGGGGAAAAGUACAUAAAUAAAAGGAAGCAAGUCACUUAGAUAAGUAGAGCUAAGAAUUAUUUUCUUUUACUGGGGAUUGAACUCAGGGUUUGUAUAUAUGAGGCUAAAGCUUAACCAAUGAGAUACAUCCCUAGCUCUGACUAAAUAUCUUUCAAUUGCUAUUAUAUUGUAGGUGGCUAAAUGACCUUUUUAAUUCAGGCACAAAAAGAUUAUCCUUAUAAAAACAAGUAAUUUAUGUUUCAUCUCCCUAUUUUGAU